rnacentral:rRNA from 1 species
CGCCCGUCGCUCCUACCGGUUCUGCGGCUGGUGAAUCGGAGGGAGGGCCGCUGGUCGGUGGUUCGCCACCUGCCUACGGUCCGAACUCCCUUGAACCCUCUGCCGACAAGGAAGGAGAAGUCGUAACAAGGUUUCC